CUUCCUGAGCGUCACCAUGCACAUAUACCUCAUGUAGAGGGAAGAGCCUUUCCCAGGUUUCUUUACCGGAGCAGCUGCCGACAGUGGAUGAACAGUGCCUUCUCCCCAAGGUCCCAUGUUCCGGGGUCUCUGAGGUCGCUAUUUUGAGUGCUGAGAUCUUGGUUUCUACUGAUUUUGACCUCCUUUAACAUUACUCGCAGCAGUUCCCUGCUUCCUCCAGGCCAGAGUGACCACUGGUGUUUUCUGUGACUGGCAGUCCUGGCUGAGAAGGAGAAGCCAACUGCUGAAGGUCAGACAGGGUUGGUAACAAGAUGAUCUGUGACUCUUUCUUCACUUCAAAACCCUUGGACACCCCCACCCACCACUCUGCACAAUGUCUCUCUAGUAAGAGAGAAAGCUGGAAGACGAGCUCUAGGUAGCACAGCCACCAGUCACCAUGAUGCUCUAGAAUCGGCAGUCAUUACUGUGAGAAGUUGCUUUGGAUUCCCCAUCAUGAAUAGUGCCGCAGAAGGGAGAAGUCAGCUCUGGACACGAGUCCCCACUGCGCUCAUCUCCCUCAUAAAGGGGGCCAGCAUUGCAGUGUUUGGCUUUCUUCUUUUGCACAUGAGGUGGCAAGUGGUCAAGAAGAAGGGGAUACUGUAAUUUGAGGGCUGUCUUGGAUCAUCACGGUUAUAGAGCUCGUGGGUCCAGUGGUAAGAGCAGGUCCUGCUCAGGCAGAGUCCAAGGGAAGGUGACAACAGAGGAGACUGGAGCAGUGCCUGGGGAAAAGGAAGUGAAGAGUGACAGGCCAAGUGUUGCACCACAGAUCAGUCUUUAAGCUGGAAUGGGGAUCAGGACCCCUGCUGUAUGUCCCUUCAAAGAGCCGUGACUUUCACCAGCCAGCCAACCAACAAAACAACUACCAUUGUUUUGUGCUUCAUCCAUUAUCUAAUUUAAUCCUUACAACACCACUGUGAGGUCUGGAGUCUGGAAGUCCAAAAUCAAGGUGCUAGCAGAUUUGGUGUCUGGUGAGCCCCGCUUCCUGGUUCAUGGAUGGCGCUUUCUAGCUGUAACCUCACGUGGCGGAAGACGGGGGAGGAAGUGGUCUUCAGCCUUUUGAUAAGGGCACUAAUGCCAUUCAUGAGGGCUCCACACUCAUGACCGAAGCACCUCCCACAGGCCCCACUUCCUAAUACCAUCAUCUUUGGGGGGUUAGGAUUUCAACAUACAGAUUUUGCGGG
rnacentral:lncRNA from 1 species